UCCGGAGUAGCUCAGUGGUAGAGCGAUCGGCUGUUAACCGAUUGGUCGUAGGUUCGAGCCCUACCUCCGGAGCCA
rnacentral:tRNA from 2 species